AGAGUUGAUCCUGGCUCAGGACGAACGCUGGCGGCAGGCCUAACACAUGCAAGUCGAGCGCUCGUAGCAAUACGGGAGCGGCAGACGGGAGAGUAACACGUGGGAACGUACCCUUCGGUUCGGAAUAACCCAGGGAAGCUUGGGCUAAUACCGGAUACGUCCGAAAGGAGAAAGAUUUAUCGCCGGAGGAUCGGCCCGCG
rnacentral:rRNA from 1 species